rnacentral:rRNA from 1 species
AGAGUUUGAUCCUGGCUCAGGAUGAACGCUGGCGGCGUGCUUAACACAUGCAAGUCGAGCGGGAAUUAGUUAGGUGCUUGCACCUAACUAAUUUUAGCGGCGUAGCGGCGGACGGGUGAGUAACGCGUGGGUAACCUGCCUUAUACAGGGGGAUAACAUAUUGAAAAGUAUGCUAAUACCGCAUAAGCGCACAAUAUCGCAUGAUAUGGUGUGAAAAGCUGAGACGGUAUAAGAUGGACCCGCGUCUGAUUAGCUAGUAGGUGAGGUAAUGGCUCACCUAGGCGACGAUCAGUAGCCGACCUGAGAGGGUGAUCGGCCACAUUGGGACUGAGACACGGCCCAAACUCCUACGGGAGGCAGCAGUGGGGAAUAUUGCACAAUGGGGGAAACCCUGAUGCAGCGACGCCGCGUGAAGGAUGAAGGUUUUCGGAUCGUAAACUUCUAUCAGCAGGGACGAUAAUGACGGUACCUGACUAAGAAGCCCCGGCUAACUACUACGUGCCAGCAGCCGCGGUAAUACGUAGGGGGCAAGCGUUAUCCGGAAUUACUGGGUGUAAAGGGUGCGUAGGCGGUAAUGUAAGUCAGGUGUGAAAGCCCGAAGCUCAACUUCGGGAUUGCACUUGAAACUACAUAACUAGAGUACAGGAGAGGUGAGUGGAAUUCCUAGUGUAGCGGUGAAAUGCGUAGAUAUUAGGAGGAACACCAGUGGCGAAGGCGGCUUUCUGGACUGUAACUGACGCUGAGGCACGAAAGCGUGGGGAGCAAACAGGAUUAGAUACCCUGGUAGUCCACGCUGUAAACGAUGGAUACUAGGUGUGGGGGAGAUACAACCUCCGUGCCGCAGCUAACGCAAUAAGUAUCCCGCCUGGGGAGUACGGUCGCAAGACUGAAACUCAAAGGAAUUGACGGGGGCCCGCACAAGCGGUGGAGUAUGUGGUUUAAUUCGACGCAACGCGAAGAACCUUACCAAGGCUUGACAUCCUGUGACAGCUAUAGAAAUAUAGACUUCUUAGUUUACUAAGACACAGAGACAGGUGGUGCAUGGUUGUCGUCAGCUCGUGUCGUGAGAUGUUGGGUUAAGUCCCGCAACGAGCGCAACCCUUAUCUUUAGUAGCCAGCACGUAACGGUGGGAACUCUAGAGAGACUGCCGAGGAUAACUCGGAGGAAGGUGGGGAUGACGUCAAAUCAUCAUGCCCCUUAUGAUCUGGGCUACACACGUGCUACAAUGGCGAUAACAAAGGGAAGCAAAAGGGUGACCUCUAGCAAACCCCAGAAAAGUCGUCCCAGUUCGGAUUGUAGUCUGCAACUCGACUACAUGAAGUUGGAAUCGCUAGUAAUCGCGAAUCAGAAUGUCGCGGUGAAUACGUUCCCGGGUCUUGUACACACCGCCCGUCACACCAUGGGAGUUGGAAGCGCCCGAAGCCAGUGACUCAACCGCAAGGAGAGAGCUGUCGAAGGUGAAGCCAAUGACUGGGGUGAAGUCGUAACAAGGUAACC